GCAGUCGAGCGCUACCUUCGGGUGGAGCGGCGGACGGGUUAGUAACGCGUGGGAACGUACCCAGAUCUGCGGAAUAGCCUUUGGAAACGAAGAGUAAUACCGCAUACGCCCUUCGGGGGAAAGAUUUAUCGGAUUUGGAUCGGCCCGCGUAAGAUUAGAUAGUUGGUGGGGUAAUGGCCUACCAAGUCUACGAUCUUUAGCUGGUUUGAGAGGAUGAUCAGCAACACUGGGACUGAGACACGGCCCAGACUCCUACGGGAGGCAGCAGUGGGGAAUCUUAGACAAUGGGCGCAAGCCUGAUCUAGCGAUGCCGCGUGAGUGAUGAAGGCCUUAGGGUCGUAAAGCUCUUUCGCCUGUGAUGAUAAUGACAGUAGCAGGUAAAGAAACCCCGGCUAACUCCGUGCCAGCAGCCGCGGUAAUACGGAGGGGGUUAGCGUUGUUCGGAAUUACUGGGCGUAAAGCGCACGUAGGCGGAUUAAUAAGUCAGAGGUGAAAUCCCAGGGCUCAACCCUGGAACUGCCUUUGAUACUGUUAGUCUUGAGUUCGAGAGAGGUAAGUGGAAUUCCGAGUGUAGAGGUGAAAUUCGUAGAUAUUCGGA
rnacentral:rRNA from 1 species